GAAUAUUGCGCAAUGGGGGAAACCCUGACGCAGCGACGCCGCGUGAGCGAAGAAGGCCUAGGGUUGUAAAGCUCUGUUUUAGGGGACGAAUGUUGUGGUCAGUAAUAUGGACUACGAAUGACGGUACCCUAAGAGGAAGCCCCGGCUAACUACGUGCCAGCAGCCGCGGUAAGACGUAGGGGGCGAGCGUUGUCCGGAAUUACUGGGCGUAAAGAGCACGUAGGCGGGAACUUAAGUCAGGUGUGAAAGACCGUGGCUCAACCACGGGGUGGCAUUUGAAACUGGGUUUCUUGAGGGCAGGAGAGGAAAGCAGAAUUCCUGGUGUAGCGGUGAAAUGCGUAGAAAUCAGGAGGAAUACCAGUGGCGAAGGCGGCUUUCUGGGCUGACCCUGACGCUGAGGUGCGAAAG
rnacentral:rRNA from 1 species